UCUGAGUAAGCUUCUCUUUUGAGCAUGAAGUGCUAUUUGGGCAUUUUGCCCAUGGUUCUGACAUGUGUCUGCUUUGGGGGACCAUUUGUGUUGGAGAAGUAUUUAUCUGGGACUCUUGGUCAGUGGUGAUCCUCUCAAAGGACAUGUGACAGUUGUCUUCUGGUGUGUGAGUGUGCAUUCCAUGUGUGACUGGUACUCUCGUUGCCUUUUGUAAAAUGGGAGAUUCAGGUUCAACUCAGAAAACUUUAAGCAAUGAAACUAUGACUAAAGAAAAAUAAAGAUAAUUUUUUUUUAAACACUGUGUUGCUGACAGUAUUCCUCAGACUCCAGAGAAAAUUGGUUAAGAUGAAACUCUUGAAAUUCCAAAACUUUUUUGUUUUUGCAAAUGCAGUUAGAGAAAGCUAGCUGGAUAAAUGCUGUUUUCAAAAUUCUAACCCUGAGAGAGAGAGAAAAAAAAUAUGCCUAGGAGAAAGCUUGAAAUUAACUCUUAUCAUGUCCUUGAAAUACAAACACGGCUCACUUUGCCUGAGACUUCAGCCUUGGGUUAAUUAGAACUUCAAGCCAAGGGGGGAUAAAAGGAGUUGGUAGGGAGGAAGAGAAGCCUUUUAAACUCAAGUCACCACAGAGCACUGAAUAGAGUUCCUGUGCUAUUACUUUGAAGCAUCUCAACAAAAGAAAAUAGCAACAUGAUGUACUUGGUGACUUCUAAGACAUUUUCCAGAUACUAUAAUCAAAUUCUAUAGGAGGUGGUUAAUCCAGAAGGUAAAAAGGGCAAAAUUAAUCCAUAAAAAUCAUAUAAUCUAGAGCUGUCCUUUAAAAGUUCUUAUUUUAAAUGUGGUUACUGUGAUUUCUCUCUUGUUCUUGCAAAUUAAGGAAAAGAAUUAAUCAUUUGAAUAUUUCCAUUUGUUUGCUUCAAGUAAUCAUAAAUUGAUUCUGGGAGAAAAAUGAAGUAGCGAUAGUAAUACAAAAGUAUUAUGAAAAUGAAAUUUAAAUGCUUUUUCUUUUCUUGGGUCUGUGAAUUGUGCAUCUUGCUUUACACUGCAUAUUUUCCAACUUUCAUGGAGUGAAAUAAAAUUAAUGGGAAAAAUUUGUAGUAGCAGAGCCCAAGCUAAAGUCUGUAAAAAUCAUUAUUGGUGUACUCAUUAUUGACACAUGCCAUAUUCCUUACCCAAAUGUAUAAUUUUAUUAAGAUUAUUCUAUAUAAUGAACCAUUAAUUGCAUAGAAAUACAAAUUGAACCCCCAAAGGCAAUAAAUAUCAAAAAAGUGAGUCAUUUUCCACCUUUAAUAGCAAUUUGAAAAACAGAUUUCAGAAAUAAUCUGGUAAAAUAUAUUGCUAUGUUCCUGAUCAUUUUUGGUCAGUAACAUGGAUUUUUCUGGUAUAGAAAAUUACAGCCUUACAUUUUGUUCAGACAAAAUUUCCACAUCAGAAAGAUAAAAUGAUUUAAAAGUGAGAAGCAUUAUAUUCUUAUAAAAGCUGCUUAUUCACAGGAAUACUUUACACUCUUGGUUAUUAAUUACCUUGCUUCUCAUUUGAAUAGUUGUUGAUUUGGCCUUAUAGUUGCAUAACUUCCUAUUUAUGCUUUAUAAUAUGGAAUGGAAGUUUAAUAAAAAUUAAUAAUGGACAUAGCAGAGGAAAGAACACAAAAUGCAUCUCAGUAAGAUUGUUCAUGGAUGUCAAAACAAAUCAGCAAGAGUACAGAAGGCUCUGUCUCAAUUAUAUUUUGAGGGAGGGUAUGAGAAUGGAGAGAGAAUUAGUUUCCUCUCCUUUAUUGCUUAAACUAUAAAACUAUGAAGCAUUAAAUGUCUUCUGGGAGCUCACCCAAUGUUUGGAAAAAUAAGGUUUGACUCUGUGGAAUUUGAUGCAUUUCUUUCCAGAAUAUAAGCUCAUCAGAGUUAGUGUGCUAAAUAAAUGCUGGAAACAGGGUGAAAUAAGAAGGGGAGAAAAAACCAAUAAAAUAAAUGAUGAAAAGGCAAGGCGUAAGUGCCAACCACAUUAAUAACACUCAUUUUGAAGGGUAAUAUUUAAGUAGGCAUAGAAAGUGAGCCACUGGAGAAUUGAGAUUAAAAUUAAAUCACAUGCUUGUUCAAUAAUUAUUUGACUAGGAGCUAAACAGAUUCAUUAACAAAUGCAAAUGAUUCUUUUAAUUAGACAUCAACAAAUGAGGUCCAAUAGCAGAAACCAUGCUACUUGGUCUUGAUAGAUUUUCAUUAUAGAGCUUCAACAUCUCCACAAUAAUUCCCUGAGUUUCCUUUACAGUCACUCACAAAGAAUGUGAGUUUAAAACUGUUUUGAUAUUUUAAUAUAUCUAUAAAUGGGCUUAAAGUCUACAACAAUCAAGGUGAAAAGGGGAAGCUUGCUUCUUUAUAUUUCUAAUUGGCAUUCCAUUGUGCAGAUAUAGAUAUAUCAGAGUUUGUUAAUCCAUCUACCCAUCAAAGGACAUUUGGGUUGUUUCCAACUCUUGGCAGUUAUGAAUAAAGCUACAGUAAAUAUUCAUGGACAGGUCUUUUUGUAGACAUAACCCAGGAGUAGUAUUGCUGGACCAUAUGGAAAGUAUAUGUUUAACUUUGUAAGAAAUUGCCAACCCUUUUUCCAGAAUACCUGGACCAUUUUGCACUCCCAUCAGCAACGUUCAGGAGUUCUAGCUGCUGCAAAUUUUUGCCAGUGCUUAAUAUUAUCAUUCCUGACAUUCCAAGUUUGCUUCUGCUAUGAUUUCUUUCUGUCUGAAAAAGUUCCUUUAGUAAUUCUUUUAGAAGAAAUCUAAUACCAAGAAAUUCUCUCAAUUUUUCUUCAUGAAAAUGCCUUUAUUCCUGUUUCUUUGAAUAUAGAAUUAUGCUGGUAUUUGAAAUAUAUAUUAUUUGGCUUCAAAAAUCCUUAAAGAAAGAUGGAGUCAUAAUUGUAUAAUAUCAGGCCAUUAUGAUUUAAUUGUCAAAAUGGAAAUUCAAAACCUUAUCAGAAAAAAAUGUUAUUAUAGAUUUAAAGGUCAAGGAUGAGUUAUUCCAUACAUAAUUUUCAGCAUUCAGUAAAAUCUAUAUUCAAUAAAAAUAAUAGACAAGAGGAAAAUUAGAUAUUUUUAAAAGACCCACAGGUUAUCUGGAUAUUAAAAUUUCUAGAUGCUAAAAUAGUUGUGAAUAAUAUAUUCAAGAAAAUACAUGACAAAAUGAAAUCUGAAAAAGAAAUGCACAGAAAUAGAGCAAAGAGUCAGCAACAAAUGAAGAAUUCAACAAAUAGAUUAUAGCAGAUUAGACUCAGCAAGUAAGAGUAUUAAUGAGUUUCAUGUUGGAUCAGAAUAUAUACAGACUAGAUAUAUGUUAAGAAGCAAAAUAAGAAAAUAUUAUAUGAGGCCCAUGAGUGACAAAAUAAAAAGUCUAAUAAAUUUAAUUGGAUUUCCAGAAAGCAAACUAGCCAAAUAAUUACAAGUUUAGAGAACUAAUAUUUUAUAAUGUGCUGAAAGCAAACUUGUUGAAACUUUUUCCUGAAAGGAGACAUUAUCUUUAUUAUACUACUGUAAAUUAAAAGGGUACACUGGAGCUUUCUCAAAAAGCUAAAAAUAUAACUACCAUAUGACCCAACAAUUCCACUCCUGGAGAUAUAUCUGGAGAAAAUGAGAACACUAAUUUGAAAAGAUACAUGCUCUUCAAUAUUCAUAGCAACAUUAUUUAUAAUAGCCAAGAUAUGGAAGCAACUAAAGUGCUCAUCAACUGAUGAAAGAAUGCAGAAGAUCGGGUAUAUA